UACGAAGGGGGCUAGCGUUGCUCGGAAUCACUGGGCGUAAAGGGCGCGUAGGCGGCCAUUCAAGUCGGGGGUGAAAGCCCAGGGCUCAACCCUGGAAUUGCCUUCGAUACUGUUUGGCUAGAGACCAGAAGAGGUAAGUGGAACUGCGAGCGUAGAGGUGAAAUUCGUAGAUAUUCGCAAGAACACCAGUGGCGAAGGCGGCUUACUGGUCCGGUUCUGACGCUGAGGCGCGAAAGCGUGGGGAGCAAACA
rnacentral:rRNA from 1 species